AUUUUUAUCAAAGAAUUUUUUCUUUUUGAAGAAAACUUGUUCUUCUUAAUAUUAGAUAAAAUAAACUUCUCACUUUCUCAACUUUUUUUCUUCUAUUAAUGUAACCAGUCAGAGGCUCAGAGCCAUGGAGUGUACUUUUAAGGACUCAAGACUUGUUUUUACGUUUAUUGGACCACGUGAAUCGCGUCACUCGAUAUCAAAUGAUGCGAUUUAUAUAAAAUGAUCAACAAUCAACAUGCGACAUCGUACAAAAUUGUUCUUCGGGAGGACGUGCGUCACAUAAUAAAAAGUCAACAGUAAUAACUACGUUUAUUAAUUAAUGUAGCUAUACGAAAAGACAAAAAUAAAACAUUAAAAAAAAAGAACUUCAUCAUAGAUCUAAUAAAUUCUAAUGUGGAUCCAAAAGAAGGGCGACCAUCUUGUGUGUAUUUCUCUUGUUUGCUUUAAGUUAUAGCAUUUCUAUAAUACAUUUUCAUCAAUUUUAAUGCUAGUAUAUGAUAAGUCUACAAUUUAAUUAUUCCAUCAACCCUUGUUCAUAAUUGACUCAUUACUUAGGAAAUAAGUGAGGUUGUUUGUUCAUUUUCUUUUAAUACACGAAUUAUAUUAUUUAUAUAAACAAACAAAUAAAGAUCAAAAGCAAAAAAAGGGUACCUUCACCGUUAUCGUUAGCCUGAAGAACAAUGAAAACGUAUUUGAGGAGCGCUACGAGAGUAAUAGUGUAGAUUAUGAGCGAGAGAACACCAACGACAUCAUCUUUGUCAUUGAUGCCAUCAGUGAAAGUACUUGCAUACACAUAUAAUGGCGAUGUCCCGAUAUCUCCAUACACCACUCCUAGGCUCUGAAAUGCCAAACUCAUCGUUGUUCUCCAGCUCAUCUAUUUCACACAUCAUUAUUCACGAUCACCAAAUCUUAUAUUAAUGAUCAUCUUCUUAUCAAACAAGAGAGAUUUAGAUACACACCAAUGAGCGACGCCCGGUAUUUGUUGGAGUUUGUCCGGCCUCUAUGAUGAAAGAGUCGGGUCGAUAUAGUUUUCCCCAUGAUUUCUGAUAAAUAACCAAAUAUUCAACCACAACAACAACAAAAAAAAGUUUUCAGAAAUGUGACUUUAAUGACUAUAUAAACACAAUAAUUUG
rnacentral:sRNA from 1 species